rnacentral:rRNA from 1 species
UACGUAGGGGGCGAGCGUUGUCCGGAUUUAUUGGGCGUAAAGAGCGUGUAGGCGGCCAGGUAGGUCUGCUGUGAAAACUCGAGGCUCAACCUCGAGACGUCGGCGGAAACCAUCUGGCUAGAGUCCGGAAGAGGAGAGUGGAAUUCCUGGUGUAGCGGUGAAAUGCGCAGAUAUCAGGAAGAACACCCGUGGCGAAGGCGGCUCUCUGGGACGGUACUGGACGCUGAGACGCGAAAGCGUGGGGAGCGAACAGG